rnacentral:ncRNA from 1 species
AGGAUGCUGUGAGAUGUCGCAGCCUUCCGAAGUAAUUCGGAAAGGAAAAAUGGGGUGAAUUCAGGGAAGUCCAGAUUGGAUAAUCCUGAGCCAAGCCUGGCAAAUAGCAUAGAAGUAGCCAGGAAGGUGCAGAGACUAGGAGUGAGUAGGAUAAUAUCGGGAGAUGAGAUAGUCCACCCUUUUAGGAAACUAAAAG